rnacentral:rRNA from 1 species
GACGAACGCUGGCGGCGUGCUUAACACAUGCAAGUCGAACGGAAAGGCCCUGCUUGCAGGGUACUCGAGUGGCGAACGGGUGAGUAACACGUGGGUGAUCUGCCCUGCACUUCGGGAUAAGCCUGGGAAACUGGGUCUAAUACCGGAUAGGAGCCAUUUUUAGUGUGAUGGUUGGAAAGUUUUUUCGGUGUAGGAUGAGCUCGCGGCCUAUCAGCUUGUUGGUGAGGUAAUGGCCUACCAAGGCGGCGACGGGUAGCCGGCCUGAGAGGGUGGACGGCCACAUUGGGACUGAGAUACGGCCCAGACUCCUACGGGAGGCAGCAGUGGGGAAUAUUGCACAAUGGGCGCAAGCCUGAUGCAGCGACGCCACGUGGGGGAUGACGGCCUUCGGGUUGUAAACUCCUUUCGCUAGGGACGAAGCUUUUUGUGACGGUACCUAGAUAAGAAGCACCGGCUAACUACGUG